rnacentral:misc_RNA from 1 species
GGAAGUAAAAGUUGUAACAAGGUUUCCGUAGGUGAACCUGCGGAAGGAUCAUUAUCGUACAAAAUGUGAGGGGCAUGCGAGGGCUGUCGCUGACCCAAAAGUCGUGCACGCCCGAGUGUGUCCUCUUGCAUAAUAAUCCAUCUCACCCUUUGUGCAUCACCGCGUGGGCACCCUUCGGGAUCAUCUCGGAGGGGCGCUCGCGUUUUCACACAAACCCCCCUUUUAAAAGUGUAGAAUGACCACAUUUAUGCAAUCAAUAAAACUUUCAACAACGGAUCUCUUGGCUCUG